GAUGAACGCUGGCGGCGUGCCUAAUACAUGCAAGUCGAGCGAACGGACGAGAAGCUUGCUUUUCUGAUGUUAGCGGCGGACGGGUGAGUAACACGUGGAUAACCUACCUAUAAGACUGGGAUAACUUCGGGAAACCGGAGCUAAUACCGGAUAAUAUUUUGAACCGCAUGGUUCAAAAGUGAAAGACGGUCUUGCUGUCACUUAUAGAUGGAUCCGCGCUGCAUUAGCUAGUUGGUAAGGUAACGGCUUACCAAGGCAACGAUGCAUAGCCGACCUGAGAGGGUGAUCGGCCACACUGGAACUGAGACACGGUCCAGACUCCUACGGGAGGCAGCAGUAGGGAAUCUUCCGCAAUGGGCGAAAGCCUGACGGAGCAACGCCGCGUGAGUGAUGAAGGUCUUCGGAUCGUAAAACUCUGUUAUUAGGGAAGAACAUAUGUGUAAGUAACUGUGCACAUCUUGACGGUACCUAGUCAGAAAGCCACGGCUAACUACGUG
rnacentral:rRNA from 1 species